GGAGGUGGGGUGGGGCAGAGACCCAUGGAAGGAACUCUAAACAGCAAAGGUUUCAUUUUAGAAGCUGAGGAGGGCAGAGAUUGGCUUAGAGACUUUGGGUCUGUUACUUUGACUCUGCAGAUCUGUCACUGUGUAUUUCUGAACCCUCCUUAGCAGCCUCUGCAGUCACAGAAGCUGACACAAGCUAACUGAAGCAGCUCCAAGCCCUGGGAUCAGUUUUCUCCAAGAACCUGGCUGGAGUAAGCCUGUGGCCUGUUCCGGGAUGAUGCAUACAGGAGAAUCCUUCAAAUGGAUUGGGGAAAUCACACAGGAUACACUCUUUAACAUGGAAUGUGUAGCUCAAGUGUGAGCAUUGCUUCUUGGAACCCAAUAUCAACCGCAGAAAUGGCUUAGAACACAGCAUAAAAGAAGUUUGUUUUUUUUUUUAAUUUAAUUUAAUAUAAAGUUGCCCUGGAAAGAUGGCUUCGCAGUUACAAGUAUUGCUGCUCUUUCAGAGGACCCAUGUCCAGUUCCUAGCACCCACAGGGUGGCGGCUCACAACUGUCCACAUACAUAACUUACAUAUAUCUGGAUAAAACACUUAGACAGAUAAAAUGAAAAUAAAAAAAUCUUUUAAAAUGUAAAGUUUAUAUUUAAUGUUUCAAGGCUCAAUUUUUAUCACUGAUCUAAGACAGCUGCUGGUGGAUGAUAUUAAUAAAAAAAGCAGCUGGGAAUUUAUUUAUUUAUUAUUUAUUUAUUUAUUUAUUUAUUUAUUUAUUUAUUUAUGUAUGUAAAAGACAAGCUCUCACUAUGUAGCAUGGGCUGGCCUCAAACUCACAGAGCUUCAACCUGCCUCUGUCUCCCUCGUGCUGAGAUUAAAGGUAGAUGCCACUAAG
rnacentral:lncRNA from 1 species